rnacentral:rRNA from 1 species
UACGGAGGGUGCGAGCGUUGUCCGGAAUCAUUGGGCGUAAAGGGUGCGCAGGCGGCCGAGUGUGUGAGGCGUGAAAGCCCGGGGCUUAACCCCGGAAUUGCACCUCAAACUACACGGCUAGAGCAUUGGAGAGGGUAGCAGAAUUCAUGGUGUAGCAGUGAAAUGCGUAGAUAUCAUGAGGAAUACCAGAGGCGAAGGCGGCUACCUGGACAAUUGCUGACGCUCAGGCACGAAAGCGUGGGGAGCAAAAGGG